UCUAUUUGAAGGUAUAAAAAGUCUAGCCUGCCCACUGAUAAAUAUUUUUUAAGGGCCGCGGUAUUUCUAACUGUGCAAAGGUAGCAUAAUCGUUAGUUUCUUAAUUGGAAUCUUGUAUGAACGGUUUGACAAAAAAAAAUCUGUCUUUAAAUUAUUUACUGAAUUUAACUUUUAAGUGAAAAGGCUUAAAUAAAUUAAAAAGACGAUAAGACCCUAUAAAGCUUAAUAUUAAUUUUAUUAUUUAAUAAAAUUUUAAAAAUAUAAAUAUUUGGUAGUUAAUUUUUAUUUUAUUGGGGCGAUAAAGGUAUAAAGAUUAUUAACUGUUAAUUUUAAAAUACAAAAAUAAAUGAAUAAAUUUUAUUUAAAUAGAUGAUCCUUUUUAAAGAUUAAAAGUUUAAGUUACUUUAGGGAUAACAGCGUUAUUUUUUUUGAGAGUUCUUAUCGAGAAAAAAGUUUGCGACCUCGAUGUUGAAUUAAAAUAUCUAUAUAAUUGUAGCAGUUAUAUAAGAAGGUCUGUUCGACCUUUAAAUUUUUACAUGAUUUGAGUUCAAACCGGUGUAAG
rnacentral:rRNA from 1 species